CGGCCGCGUCGACGGCAGGUCUCUGGGCAGUAACUGACGCUGAGGAGCGAAAGCAUGGGGAGCGAACAGGAUUAGAUACCCUGGUAGUCCAUGCCGUAAACGGUGGGCGCUAGGUGUGAGGCCCUUCCACGGGUUUCGUGCCGUAGCUAACGCAUUAAGCGCCCCGCCUGGGGAGUACGGCCGCAAGGCUAAAACUCAAAGGAAUUGACGGGGGCCCGCACAAGCGGCGGAGCAUGUGGAUUAAUUCGAUGCAACGCGAAGAACCUUACCUGGGCUUGACAUACACUGAAUCGGGCUAGAGAUAGUCUUUCCCUUGUGGUUGGUGUACAGGUGGUGCAUGGUUGUCGUCAGCUCGUGUCGUGAGAUGUUGGGUUAAGUCCCGCAACGAGCGCAACCCUUGUCUUAUGUUGCCAGCAUGUUGUGGUGGGCACUUAUGAGAGACUGCCGGGGUUAACUCGGAGGAAGGUGGGGAUGACGUC
rnacentral:rRNA from 1 species